rnacentral:rRNA from 1 species
UUGCCUAAAGCAACCGUAGCUGGCUAAGUUAGUCCCCUGUUAAAUCCAACGAAUUAAUCGUUGGAUCGCGGGGGAUACUGCUUGGCUAGGGGACGAGAGAGGCAGACGGUAUUUCCGGGGUAGGGGUGAAAUCCUAUAAUCCCGGGAAGACCACCAGUGGCGAAGGCUGUCUGCUAGAACGCGCCCGACGGUGAGGGAUGAAAGCUGGGGGAGCGAACCGGAUUAGAUACCCGGGUAGUCCCAGCUGUAAACGAUGCAGGCUAGGUGUUUGGACGGCCACGUGCCGUUCUAGUGCCGCAGGGAAGCUGUUAAGCCUGCCGCCUGGGGAGUACGAUCGCAAGAUUGAAACUUAAAGGAAUUGGCGGGGGAGCACCACAAGGGGUGAAGCUUGCGGUUUAAUUGGAGUCAACGCCGGAAACCUCACCGGGAGCGACAGCAGUGUGAAGGCCAGAUUAAAGGUCUUGCCAGACGAGCUGAGAGGAGGUGCAUGGCCGUCGCCAGUUCGUGCCGUGAGGUGUCCUGUUAAGUCAGGCAACGAUCGAGACCCGCGUCCUCUGUUGCUACUAGCCUUGUGCUGGGCACACUGAGGAGACCGCCACUGAUAAAGUGGAGGAAGGAGCGGGCCACGGCAGGUCAGUAUGCCCCGAAUCUCCCGGGCCACACGCGAGCUGCAAUGGCAGGUACAAUGAGUUCCGACCUCGAAAGGGGGAGGCAAUCUCGAAAGCCUGCCGUAGUUGGGAUCGAAAGGCUGCAACCCGCCUUCGUGAACAUGGAAUCCCUAGUAAUCGCGUGUCAUCAGCGCGCGGUGAAUACGUCCCUGCUCCUUGUACACACCCCCCGU